UACGGAGGAUCCAAGCGUUAUCCGGAAUCAUUGGGUUUAAAGGGUCCGUAGGCGGUUUGGUAAGUCAGUGGUGAAAGCCCAUCGCUCAACGGUGGAACGGCCAUUGAUACUGCCAGACUUGAAUUAUUAGGAAGUAACUAGAAUAUGUAGUGUAGCGGUGAAAUGCUUAGAGAUUACAUGGAAUACCAAUUGCGAAGGCAGGUUACUACUAAUGAAUUGACGCUGAUGGACGAAAGCGUGGGUAGCGAACAGG
rnacentral:rRNA from 1 species